AUUGAACGCUGCCGGCAGGCCUAACACAUGCACGUCGAGCGAGCGGCGGACGGGUGAGUAAUGUAUGGGGACUGCCCGAUAGAGGGGGAUAACUACUGGAAACGGUAGCUAAUACCGCAUACUAUCGGAUAACCCAUAUGGGAUUAGCUAGUAGGUGAGGUAAUGGCUCACCUAGGCGACGAUCCCUAGCUGGUCUGAGAGGAUGAUCAGCCACCCUGGGACUGGGACACGGCCCAGACUCCUACGGAGGCAGCAGUGGGGAAUAUUGCACAAUGGGCGCAAGCCUGAUGCAGCCAUUCCGCGUGUAUGAAGAAGGCCCUAGGGUUGUAAAGUACUUUCAGUCGGGUGGCGUUGCCGGCAGAAGAAGCACCGGCUAACUCCGUGCCAGCAGCCGCGGUAAUUC
rnacentral:rRNA from 1 species